GAAGAAGGUGCUUGUUUCUUCUUUGCCUUCUGCCAUGAUUGCCAUGUGAAUCGCACCCCUGGAACUGUGCAGGGCCCACCUGUGUGGCCACACGCAGUGACCCUGAGCAAAGGAGUGACCACAGAAGUGCAUGGCAAAGCAGAAAGGUGUGACGUCUUGGAGGACGCGGGAGGAAAGCACGCCCAGCGGACAGGAGCCAUCACGCGGCUGCGGGCUGCUGCUGAGAACCUGGCGUGGGCCACCGUCGUCAGCAGCGUGGAGGGAGCCGAGGAGCAUGGACACCGUCUUCUCCUUCCAGCAGGCACAGGUAUGGAAGGAGACUGAGGCUGGUCUUGGAUGGACACUUGUUAUUGCAGUCAGAGUCCAUCUGGAUAAUCCUGGAUAAAUCUCAUCUGGAGAUCCUUCACCAGAUCACAUCGGCAAUGACCUGUUCCCCAAAUAAGGCCCUGUGCACAGGUUCUGGGGGACAUAUCUUGUAAUUGAAGACGUCUCACCAUAGCGGCCAGCCGUGCAACCACUGGGCCUGUCUGUGCCUGAACAACACACUGGCCUGCCUUUGCCUGAACAAGACAGCCUUAGUCUCAAAGCUUGCAGAUGGGUGUGGCCUGGUAGAAAAUUCUCAAGACAACGGCGGAGCACGCUUGCCCCUAGGAGACCAAGUGGCCGGAAUGUUGAGAAUCAGCCUUUCGCAGAAAUCCCCUAAGCGGGAGGCAGCAGGCUGACUCCAUCAGCCCCAGGCAGGCUUCUGGGCCCUGCAGCUAUGGCUCUUCAUCCUUUUACAUGUUCUUCGAGAAUCAGCUGCACCCUGGAUGCUUCUGACAGCUCAGAGGACAUCAGCAUGAGGACAAGCACAGGGCUUGAUGGCUCGGAGGGAAAUGGAGUUGGAAGAUUUGGACUUAAUGUGCACACAUUUUAGAAAUAUCUUAACAAAUUUUAUUUUGCUGAUAUCUUUCUUUUUUGUGUGUGCCAAAGUGAUGGCCAGUACAAAUCCAUGUCUAAUUAAGUCCAGAAGAGCUCCUUCAAUAAGCGUAAGAUGAAAGUUAUGAGUGAUAAGAAAGCGUCAUGUCAGUUUAAUUGGCAGCAUUUUCUCUUUCUUAGUGGUUCAUAAAAUAAGGCAGUGCUUUGCUAUCGACGGUGUCUGAAAUUCUGUGAAUAUUCAAAGUUAAAUCUCAUGCUGAACAGCCACUGUGCGCAAGGCGGGUGA
rnacentral:lncRNA from 1 species